CAGAUAUGUAUCUAGUGUAAAUAGAAAGAAUGCAAGAAAGCUGUAGCUGGAGUGGUUAUGGACAAUUUGAUUCAAUCGGAGAGAAGGAAGAUUUUUCUCAAUUUACUUAACUCGAAUCUCUCAAAAGAAAACUAAAAAAAGAUAGAAAAAUUGCGAAAGUAGGGCUAAGUCUCUUUUUCUUUCAUUGAUGAUUCACACCUCUAAAAUUGAGGUAUAUAACCCCUAUUUAUAAUGCUAGUGAGGUCCUCUCUUUUACAAUUUGGGUUGGAUUCCUUUCCUAGUUCAAAUUGGAUUAGAUCUCCAAAAAUAAAUGACCCAUAGAAAUAAUUAAAAAACUAAAAUUCUAGAUGAGAUAGAACUUGACUUUUACCUCAACUUUGUCUUCUGUCGCUCCGCCUAAUUCUUCAUGGAU
rnacentral:lncRNA from 1 species